GUUUUAUUUAGUUAAAGGUAAUUAACAUAGGCUGCACGUUAGGUGGCAUACCCAUGGGUGCAGUGUAGCCCAGUGUUGUAUUUAGUAAAGGUAACUUCCUUUGGCUGCACUUUAGGUGGCACACCCAUGGGUGCUGUGUAACCCAGUGUCUUAUUUAGUUAAAGGUAAUUAACAUAGGCUGCACUUUAGGUGGCACAUCCAUGGGUGCAGUGUAACCUAGUGUUGCUAAUGAGUGACUGUAACCCAGUUCAGUUUUUUCUAGAAAGUGCUGUCCUUUAAGUAGCAUAAAGACAUGCAGACAUUCUCUUUAAGACAAUGAAAUUGGUGUGUGGGAACAUUUCUUCAAGUAGUAUUGUAGCACAAUGUUAUGUAAUUAAUGCAUUUUUCCAAAUGUUUAGUACUUUUCAGAAGCUUUAAGCAAGGGCACUUUUGUAAGAGAUUUUGGUACACAUACUGAGAUAAUUGAUUUGGAAGGCUCAGAUAUUAAAGCUGACAUGGAGCCUCGCCUUGUUCAGUGGCAAGGCAAGUUGGAUGAGCUACAUGUCUUUUUCAAGAAGUUGUGCAAGUCACGCAAAAAGUCACUAUUCACUAUUCACUAUUGUUUUUCUUGCGUUAGAUCUGCUUUUUUCGAUUCGAUUGCACCUUGACUAUUUUUGUACCGCUACUCCUCUUGCGUUAUAUUUAUUUAAAUGAGCAAUUUUUAAAAGACAGAAAAUGUCCUUCUUUCAAUAACGUGGCGGAAUAAAACAAUUACACAAAGAUGUUACUAUGAUACUUUUUGGUACGAAAUAUUUUAUUUUUGACCAGCACUGUUAUGCCUAAUUUUGUCCAUAAACGGACAAAAUUGCUCCGAUUUUGAGACGACAUUACAGCUUUUU